GGAAAGGUCAGGCUCCUGGCUGUGGGUUGACUGCUAGCCAAAGCAGGAACUAACCCUGAAGAAGACAGAAAAUGUGCUAUCAAGUAACUCUAAUAAAGCAAAGACUAUGCCAUAUUACACUGCUGCAAGAAAAAUAAAAGCGACAAUCCUAAAUCAAUAGUAAUUUUAGCAAUAUUGAUAGCGCUCUUUAAAAUUACCACUCUGACCGCAAAACAGAGCUCUGUCUCAUCAGCUGCAAAGGCCACAGCGGACUGAGAUCUAUUCACUAAUGUGAGUGGAUUUUCCAUCCCAGGAGUCUGUGCCGGGUUCCAGCCAGUGACAUAAGUACUCAGGCAGUCCUCUCUGAUCUCAGAUGUUAAAAUGUUCAUUCUUUACUUAAAAGUCAGAAGCCACAAAAUAAUUUUGCUACUUCUUGAAUAGUGCAUUAACACCAAACCUGUUGCGCCCCACCCUAUGUACCACAUGCAGGCAGAAGUCCUACUGAAAGAACUGAGGUUUUAUCUUGCAUUUGGACAGUAGGGUCAAACCACGUAACUUCAGUUACAUGGUCCUACAUCCAUCGCAACGGUAAAGUGGAUCGCAAUGGCAAAAGUUAGAAGCAUUAUAAGAGAAGAAGUGAGAAACCAGGCACUUGGAAAGAAAGCUCACUCUUAGAUUUCAGCUGCCAGCUCAAAGCUGUAGGUGAUACGUUGCAAGAAGACACCUAAACAUGCCAUUCACUUUCAUUUCAAG